rnacentral:rRNA from 1 species
GAUGAACGCUAGCUACAGGCUUAACACAUGCAAGUCGAGGGGUAACGAGAGGAAAGCUUGCUUUCCUUGUCGACGACCGGCGCACGGGUGAGUAACGCGUAUCCAACCUGCCCCCAACUAGGGAAUAACCUUGCGAAAGUAAGACUAAUACCUUAUAAUUUCCUCAGAUGUCAUCUGACGAGGAAUAAAGAUUUAUCGGUUGUGGAUGGGGAUGCGUAUGAUUAGCUUGUUGGCGGGGUAACGGCCCACCAAGGCAACGAUCAGUAGGGGCUCUGAGAGGAAGGUCCCCCACAUUGGAACUGAGACACGGUCCAAACUCCUACGGGAGGCAGCAGUGAGGAAUAUUGGUCAAUGGGCGGAAGCCUGAACCAGCCAAGUAGCGUGCAGGAUGACGGCCCUAUGGGUUGUAAACUGCUUUUAUACAGGAAUAAAGUUAGCCACGUGUGGUUAUUUGUAGGUACUGUAUGAAUAAGGACCGGCUAAUUCCGUGCCAGCCGCCGCAGUAA